rnacentral:rRNA from 1 species
CAGCCGCCGCGGGAAUACGUAGGGUGCGGGCGUUAAUCGGAAUUACUGGGCGUAAAGCGUGCGCAGGCGGUUAUAUAAGACAGAUGUGAAAUCCCCGGGCUCAACCUGGGACCUGCAUUUGUGACUGUAUAGCUAGAGUACGGUAGAGGGGGAUGGAAUUCCGCGUGUAGCAGUGAAAUGCGUAGAUAUGCGGAGGAACACCGAUGGCGAAGGCAAUCCCCUGGACCUGUACUGACGCCCAUGCACGAAAGCGUGGGGAGCAAACAGGAUUAGAUACCCCGGUAGUCCCUGUCUCUUAUAC